UUACUUGUACAUGAUGAUGUCAGUGACAAUCACACCUGUGUGACACCAACAAGAAGAAAUUUAAAAGUUGUUCCGCUUCACAUUUUACUUUGGGCUUGGAU